rnacentral:misc_RNA from 1 species
UCUCCGUUGGUGAACCAGCGGAGGGAUCAUUGCUGGAACGCGUCCCUCACGGGGCGCACCCCAGAAACCCUUUGUGAACUUAUACCUAUAUCGUUGCCUCGGCAAGGCUGGGAGACGUCCAGUCGCCCCCGUGUCUCGCCUCCCCUCGUGGGGGGCGUCUUGCGGAGCAGGCCUGCCGGCGGCCCAUUUUCCAAACUCUUGUUUUCAUACAGUAGUACUUCUGAGCAAACAAAACAAAAAUGAAUCAAAACUUUCAACAACGGAUCUCUUGGUUCUGGCAUCGAUGAAGAACGCAGC